rnacentral:lncRNA from 1 species
AAAGUAGACGAAGAAAAAAAAGAAAACCGAAAGAAAAAGAACGUGAAAAGAACUAAUUAAUUUUUAGAAGAGAGAAAAAUAAAAGAAAAAGAAAAAGAAAAAUAAUAAAAAAAUUAUCCCAACUCCCCUAUUAUCCCACUAACUAACAAAUUCCCCCAAAACUAUCAUCCACUACCACAGACUUCCACUUCCACCUAACCUCU